UAGAGUUUGAUUCAUGGCUCAGAUUGAACGCUGGCGGCAGGCCUAACACAUGCAAGUCGAACGGUAACAGGAAGCAGCUUGCUGCUUCGCUGACGAGUGGCGGACGGGUGAGUAAUGUCUGGGAAACUGCCUGAUGGAGGGGGAUAACUACUGGAAACGGUAGCUAAUACCGCAUAACGUCGCAAGACCAAAGAGGGGGACCUUCGGGCCUCUUGCCAUCGGAUGUGCCCAGAUGGGAUUAGCUAGUAGGUGGGGUAACGGCUCACCUAGGCGACGAUCCCUAGCUGGUCUGAGAGGAUGACCAGCCACACUGGAACUGAGACACGGUCCAGACUCCUACGGGAGGCAGCAGUGGGGAAUAUUGCACAAUGGGCGCAAGCCUGAUGCAGCCAUGCCGCGUGUAUGAAGAAGGCCUUCGGGUUGUAAAGUACUUUCAGCGGGGAGGAAGGCGAUGAGGUUAAUAACCUCAUCGAUUGACGUUACCCGCAGAAGAAGCACCGGCUAACUCCGUGCCAGCAGCCGCGGUAAUACGGAGGGUGCAAGCGUUAAUCGGAAUUACUGGGCGUAAAGCGCACGCAGGCGGUCUGUCAAGUCGGAUGUGAAAUCCCCGGGCUCAACCUGGGAACUGCAUUCGAAACUGGCAGGCUAGAGUCUUGUAGAGGGGGGUAGAAUUCCAGGUGUAGCGGUGAAAUGCGUAGAGAUCUGGAGGAAUACCGGUGGCGAAGGCGGCCCCCUGGACAAAGACUGACGCUCAGGUGCGAAA
rnacentral:rRNA from 1 species